GGUGCCCUGCUGGACAGCGAGAGGAAAUGAGACGCGUUAGCAGUGAAAGGUUUGACCUGGAUUCCAGGGGUCUUACCACUCUCAGCAUGUGACCUUGAAUGAGUCACCUCAACUCUCUAGGCCUCAGUUUCUUCUUAUGUAAAAGGGAGGGGAGGUUAACUGUCCUUCCUAACUCCCAGGGCUGUCUUAAGGAGCAAAGUGGACAUGGAGGUAAAACGGCAUCAAGUGAGAAGGAAAUGCAAGAAGGAGAGCUGCUGGGAGUGAAGCAGACAUUGGGUUGCACUCUCAGGAGCCCUGGAGACAGUUACCCACGAGGAUCCUGGCGCUGAGCUGCGUGCUGGAUGGGAGGGUGGACAAGAGGCGGCCCCUCUUCUCAGAAGCUCUGAACCUUGUGGGGAGAAUGAGCCACAUACACGCUCGACCCUACUGCUGGGAAGAAAGUGGUCAGUGUCCCGAGAGAGGGACCAGUAAGGUCCUACAGGAGUUAGAAGAGGGAGCGAGGCCUUCUGAUUGGUGGCAUCCUGGAGGCGGUGACCUUGGAGCUGGAACUCACAUUAGAUGUUGACGAAAGGGCUGCAUCUCCCUCAAAGUGUGUGGCCAGAGCAGAAAGAAUAACCCAGACUUGUUCUGAAGAAGAAUAUCCAGUGCUAACCUUUAGGAGAGAUGAAGUGGACAGAAGCCAGAUACCAAGGGUGACAAAGUGGGCGAUGGGGUGAGAGGCAUCAGCCAUAGUGGUAAGAGCAGCAGUUACCACGUGUGUUACAGGUAAUGUUAAUAUACUGAGCACUUCCUAUGUGCUGGAUGUGCAUUCCAGGUCCGCUAAAUUAAUCUUCCCAAAAGCCUUGCUAGGUAGUUGUUCGUAUGCCCAUUUUACAGAUGAGGAAGCUGAGGAGAUCGAGGCAGCCACUAUGGACUUUCUGAAGAUGGAAAUGGGAUGGACUUGCCAGGAGGUGACUGCUGAUUGGGAAUAAUGUGUCCUGAUUUGGCUGUUACUCUGUAGUUACACUCAGUUCCAGGCCUCUCAUGGUGUCACACCAGCAGAAAGAAGGUAAAACCCAGAUGCAGCCUAGGCUGUCAGGACAGUGUUGGAUUCAGGAUGCACAGAUAGAUUCCAGCUUGUGAUUUUCCAGUUGACCUUGGACAAGUCCAUUUCUGUGUCUGAGUCUCAGUUUCUCCAUCUAUCAAAUGGCACAGAUGUAUUCUGAGGUCCCUUGCUGCACCCUUGUAUUAACCGUGUCUUUUAGUUUCUCUGAUCAGAUGCUUUGACAUCAGGGGCCUUGCUGACCCUGGAGGGACCACCUCUCCCUAGAGGCAGGAAUCAGCUGGUCCUUCCAGCUUGCCAGAGCCCACACCCCAACCGCCUUCUUCAUGGGGCUCUUACAUGCCAGCACCCAGGAGGAAGACUCUAAGCCACAAUUCCUCCCUCUUCCUCUGCCUCCUGACCUGCCCAGUGCCCCACCUUGAGGCCCACCAUGGUGGUAGUGUGCCCCUCACCUUGGGAACUAGAGGGGGAAACUGAGGCACAGGAGAGUGAAGAACCUUGCCUAAAGACACACAGCUGAAGAACUCACCCCAAACUGUGGAGGUGGCCAAGGAGACCAGGACCAGAGCGAAGAGCCACAUCUUGGAAGGACAGCAGCUCCUGGACCUGCAGGACUCAGCGCUGCUGGAAGGGGCUGUGCAGUCAGCCCCAGAGCCCUGCCCCUGCCCCGCCCCUCAGCUCCCUCCCUCCCAGCCAAUAGCCUAAUCAGGCAGAACAGAUUUCCCCUUCCAAAGAUCACUCUGGGCUUUGUGGAUCCUUUAUGCUCCGCCUCUUAGAGUUUACCCUCUUUUAUCUAAACAGCACAGAAUGAACUCUGCCAUUACAGACAGCCACAGACUGGUCAAACAACUUGUUACAUAAGGGUUUCCCCUCUCCUGGAUGCUAACCUCAGUGCACUGUGAGCUUCCCAAAGGCAGGUACAAGCACCAGAUGCCUUUGGUUUGGGCUCCCAGAACAAGCUUGAAAACUUUUACAGCAACUCCCAGCCCUGCAGCUGCUCUGCUGGGGAACUGAGAACCUAUCUCUUCUUUACCCUGGGCUUCUAUUUCAUAGGGCUCUAUGCUGUCAGGUUUGUAAGCAUCUUAAAUUGCAUCCAGUCUCCCUUCUGUUGCCUAAAUUGACUUUACAAUAUUCCUGCCAAAUGACUGAGCUUCCUGUCUCACACCUCCAGGGACAGGGAACUCACUAUCUCUAGACGCAGGGAUAUUUGGGCACAAGGUUCUUAGAGUAGUGAAUUCCAUCCCACCACAGUGCCUGGCUAUAUUCAUUCAUUCAUGCAUCCAUCCAUUUGUCCUUCCAUUUAUUCAUUAUUCCAUUUAUCCAUUCAUUCAUUCUCGAAAAUUUACCAAGCCUAGCACUAUGCUAGGUGUUAUAAAUACAAAGAUGAAUUCAAGAUAUGUUCCAUCUCCUCUUGUAGUUCACCGUGUAGUAAUUAAGACAGAUGGGGUGUGGGGGUAUGAAUUGCAAUGUAAUGUGAAAGCACCAAAACUGAGGGAUGCAAAGUGCUCUGGGUUCACCUGGGAAAGUGUCAUUUACCUGCUGGGGAUGCAAGCAAGAUACUCAAAGCCUGUUUCAUAGAAUCAUUAAAUGUCCAACAAUGGGGAAUCCGUUAUAGACACUGGUACAGCUGGCUAAGGACAUACAAUGCAUUCACUCAAACUAGUGACGCUCACAGCUAUUUACUGACAAGGAAAGACAGUCAUGAUCUAUUGUGAAAGGGAAAAAAACACGUUAUAAAAUAAUGGGGUAUUUUUUGUACUUUAGGUAUUUUGUUGUUAUUGUUGGAGAAGAUUGGCCCUGAGAUAACAUCUUUUGCCAAUCUUCCUCUUUUUAUUUUUUCUCCCCAAAGCCCCAGUACAUAGUUGUAUAUCCUAUCUGUAC